GCUAUAGAAAUUGAGUCCAAUAAGCUCAUCACUGUCAAACAGUGAGUGGAGCGAUAAAUUGCUAGCUAUUUUUGAAGAAAAAUACAAACCUAAUUAGCAUAUGAAUUAAACAAACUUAAAGACAUGGACUUUAGUCUAAAGAUUCUCCCACUAUUUUAUAUGAAUUUAUAGCCUCUAACCCAAUUUGAGGAACUACCUUAAUUUCUUAGUGGGUACUAGAAUCCACAAAGACUGCAUACAGGCUUGAGUAUGGCUCGACCAACCCAUAUGCAUCUAUGG
rnacentral:lncRNA from 1 species